GCCUGGGUGGCUCAGUCGGUUAAGCGUCCGACUUCGGCUCAGGUCAUGAUCUCACGGUUCGUGGGUUCGAGCCCCGCGUCGGGCU
rfam:Felis catus isolate Cinnamon breed Abyssinian chromosome E1, whole genome shotgun sequence.